CAAUAGCGUAUAUUAAAGUUGUUGCAGUUAAAAAGCUCGUAGUUGGAUUUCGGGGUGGCCUGGCUGGUCCGCCGCAAGGUGAGUACUGGUCAGCCGCCCUUCCUCUCGAAAGCCCCGACUGCUCUUUACUGCAGUGGUCGGGUAGUUCGGGACGUUUACUUUGAAAAAAUUAGAGUGUUCAAGGCAGGCUAUCGCCUGAAUACAUUAGCAUGGAAUAAUGGAAGAGGACCUCGGUCCUACUUUGUUGGUUUCUAGGGCCGAAGUAAUGAUUAAGAGGGACAGUUGGGGGCAUUCGUAUUUAAUUGUCAGAGGUGAAAUUCUUGGAUUUAUGAAAGACGAACUAGUGCGAAAGCAUUUGCCAAGGAUGUUUUCAUUAA
rnacentral:rRNA from 1 species